rnacentral:rRNA from 1 species
AGCGGCGAACGGUCGAGUAACGCGUAAGCAACCUGCCCGGAAGCGGGGGAUAAGCCGGAGAAAUCCGGGGUAAUACCGCAUAGCUUGGAGGGAGGCAUCUCUUUUCAAGAAAGGAACGGACCCGAGAGGGCGAGUUUCACUUUCGGAGGGGCUUGCGGCCUAUCAGCUAGUUGGUGGGGUGACGGCUCACCAAGGCGACGACGGGUAGCUGGUCUGAGAGGACGGCCAGCCGGACUGGGACUGAGACACGGCCCAGACUCCUACGGGGGGCAGCAAUCAGGAAUCUUGCACAAUGGACGACAGUCUGAUGCAGCGAUGCCGCGUGGGUGAGGAAGUCCUUCGGGAUGUAAAGCCCUUUUCUGGAGGAAGAUGGUGACGGUACUCCAGGAAUAAGCCCCGGCUAACUACGUGCCAGCAGCCGCGGUAAUACGUAGGGGGCGAGCGUUGUCCGGAAUUACUGGGCGUAAAGGGCGCGUAGGCGGCCGUUUAAGUCCGCUGUGAAAGACCGAGGCUCAACCUCGGGAGGUCAGCGGA